rnacentral:rRNA from 1 species
GACGAACGCUGGCGGCGUGCUUAACACAUGCAAGUCGAACGGAAAGGCCCUGCUUUUGUGGGGUGCUCGAGUGGCGAACGGGUGAGUAACACGUGAGUAACCUGCCCUUGACUUUGGGAUAACUUCAGGAAACUGGGGCUAAUACCGGAUAGGAGCUCCUGCUGCAUGGUGGGGGUUGGAAAGUUUCGGCGGUUGGGGAUGGACUCGCGGCUUAUCAGCUUGUUGGUGGGGUAGUGGCUUACCAAGGCUUUGACGGGUAGCCGGCCUGAGAGGGUGACCGGCCACAUUGGGACUGAGAUACGGCCCAGACUCCUACGGGGGGCAGCAGUGGGAAAUAUUGCACAAUGGGCGGAAGCCUGAUGCAGCAACGCCGCGUGCGGGAUGACGGCCUUCGGGUUGUAAACCGCUUUCGCCUGUGACGAAGCGUGAGUGACGGUAAUGGGUAAAGAAGCACCGGCUAACUACGUG